UGGCUGUACAGUAGUCCAUCAUACUAAAAUUGAAAUUAUACAGAGAUGAUUUUCAUGCUUGCUGCACAGGGAUGAAACCCAAUUUUGUGAUGUGUUCCAACUUGCC